rnacentral:rRNA from 1 species
UACUCCUACGGGAGGCAGCAGUGGGGAAUAUUGCACAAUGGAGGAAACUCUGAUGCAGCGACGCCGCGUGAGUGAAGAAGGUCUUCGGAUCGUAAAACUCUGUCCUUGGUGAAGAAAAGGACGGUAGCCAAGGAGGAAGCCCCGGCUAACUACGUGCCAGCAGCCGCGGUAAUACGUAGGGGGCGAGCGUUGUCCGGAUUUACUGGGCGUAAAGGGUGAGUAGGCGGUUGUAUAUGUCAGGUGUAAAAGGCUAUGGCUUAACCAUGGUUAGCACUUGAAACUGUGCAACUUGAGUGCAGGAGAGGUAAGCGGAAUUCCUAGUGUAGCGGUGAAAUGCGUAGAUAUUAGGAGGAACACCAGUGGCGAAGGCGGCUUACUGGACUGUAACUGACGCUGAGUCGCGAAAGCGUGGGUAGCAAACAGGAUUAGAUACCCUGGUAGUCAAUCGAA